UUACACAAUGGGAAGACAACGCUGUCGUUAAAAACAUGAAGAAAUUCUUAAAUAUGCGUAGCACUUUUCAAAAACAGUUAAUCUUAUUUCACUGAUGUGCCAUUUUAGUAGGAAAUAAGAGUUGACGAAAUGGGGGCCCAACUUCCAAAACCUCAUUCACAAAGAACGAGAAAAUGACGUGUUGGAUCGUAAGAUUCGAAAGAGAUCUUCGUGACGUUUAGUUACAAAACAUAACAGUUGCAACAAGGAAGUUUUAAACAAACUCAAGAAGACGACCUACCUGUUGAAGCACAGCAAGAUGUUCGAGUUAAAGAAAAGCACAGCGAGAAAUACUUGAGUAAAAAAAAGAAGUGCAGCACGUGCUUCUUUGGGAAGGGACAGACACAGACAAGUUUUUUAAAAAGGCAGAAAACAGACAAAUUCACAGGUUCAUGAACAGUUACAGAGGUGCAGAGAGGGCUCAACUUAUCCAGCAUCAUCAUGGGUACAAUUCUCCUUGCCAUUGAGGGCAUCUACAAGGCAAUUGUCUCAGGAAACUGACAUCCUUUGCUCAGAACCACCAUCACUGAAGCCACGUUCUCUUCUUGAUAACAUCAAGCUGGAAAUACAGCAGUCUGAAGACCCACACCUUGGGGCUCAACAACAGCUUCUUCCCCACUGCCACCAGGUUCUCAAACCAACCUGAAAAAUCCUAGUAUCACUGUGAGCUAUUUGGUUUGUUCCUUGACUUCCAUUAACAGCAUUGUGCUUAUCUUAGUUUAUUUCUUCAUCUGUGUGUAAUUUGUCUAUAGUAUCUUAUCUUACAUUUGUAAUGCUUGUACUCUGCUGUUGCGAUAAAAAGCUACCGUUCAUGGCAUUUAUACCCUAGUUAUGUAUACCUAUAACAAAAAAUUAACUUGAAACUUAUUCCUUGCCUUUGCAAACUGCUGAAAUGCCUGUCCAGGUGUAAACAUUGCAACGGGCAGUGAGCAGUGAGUUCCUUAACAUACAAGUCAGUAUCAUGAAAACAUUUGCCACAGCAAACAACCAAAAUUUAAAUCUUUUGUCCUGAUUAUUUUAAGUUAUUGGUCAUAAACUAGACUAGAAACACAUGGCCAAUGAAUUCUGUAGUCUUAUCAGAGAUGGCAUCUUACAGUUGGGCAAGUAGGAAGAGUUUAAAUUAUGAGGGGGAGAAUAAUUCCCCAUUGACAAUGUUUCCACAAUCGAUAAACCAUCAAGGAAAGGUAUUGUUCACAUAUUUGCUAUUUUCUAUAUUAAUAUUAACUGUAGCAGCUUUUAGUGGUGAAUCUUGGAUGAGAUUGUGGAGUUUAAAAACUGUAAAGAUGGUAUU